UAUAACAGCUACUAAAUGAUCCUGAAUUGUCUUCCAAGGGAAGGCACAGGAAGUUAAUAGAAAGCUUGUCAUCUCCAGUGAAUGAAGCUUUCAGUUGAGGGAAAUCUACCCUGCAGAACAAUGUUUGUUUGAUAGAGCUGGAAAAGAAGAAUGGCCCUGUUUCCAGCAGUGAUGAAGUGUAUGCACAAUUCCUAGAGACCUUUCAGAAGUCCAUGGAAAUACUCUCCAAGUAUUUGGGAAGAUUAAACAGCUAUUUGAGAAGGGUAAUGGAGCAGAAGACAUGCAUGCAAGAAACCCUUAAUGUACAGCCAGUAAAGCAAUUUAUUCAUAGAUGUUGGGAUGAGUCCCUGAUUACACAGCUCCAUCUGAGGGACCAUUUGGAUACUACUGCUAUUUCCAAGAUAUCUUACUCUCCAACCGCUGUACAAAAUCCACCACUUGGAAGAAGAGAGAGCAAAGAAGGAUUAUGCAGCUGGGGGGAAAAAUAACAGUCUAAGCCUAGCAGUUCAUGCCAUACCAUAGAAGCUAACCACAGCUCAAGUUCUGCCGCGGGAGACUCAAAGAAAAUGGAAAACCGUUCAACUCAGCUUGAAGGAGCCACAGUUAAGUUAAUGGAAGGACCUGCCAUUCCAAAGAGGCAGCAUUCAGCAAAACAGGAUAGCUCUUUGAAAUUUCAGGAAACACCCUCAGCUGCUGAGGAAUCUAUUGCAAACAAUCCCUGGUUCUUCUGUUCCAACUGUGCUAAGGAGGAUCAUUCUAGGGCUCAGAACAUCUAAAUCCCGAACUUGUAAAUAAAUAUUUGACAAGUUUGAAACUGCCUCAGCUUUCAGAGGAUGCCAUGGCAGCUCUUGACAGGCAAAUUGCUGUAAAGGAAGUUGAAAAGGUAAGCAGCUGAAGACUGAGGAUUAAGGAUGGCUUGACCGACCCCAUAUAUUUGAAAGGUUCUUGCCAAAUUAACACAGACAGACCAGCAGUCAGCCACACAUUCACUCUUCCAAUGCAUUAUCUUGGAGAACUGGCCAACUCCACACAAGGGAAGAUUUGGCCAGAAUAAUGGUUAGGAGACCAGACAGGUGGCACUUGUGAUACAUGCAUGUAUAACUGGACAACAUGGCUUGGUGCAUAUACCUCUUAGUCUUGAACCAGUGCAAGAGGAAUAAUUUUUCUGCCUGUUCCUUGGUGCACGGUGGUUUGGCUGUGGAGGAUUCACCAUAACUCUCCCUCACCAAGCUGAAUCUAACCUCCACCCUGGACAUAACCUCCUUCCUGGGAUUAGUGACCUGCAUGCUUGUCUGCACUGCUGAAUCCGAGUAGGCUUGGCCUGUGUGCAAAGAGUAACUGUAUGGACUGAAAAAAGAACAGGAGUACUUGUGGCACCU